CGGGCAGGUGGUUUGUUAAGUCUUCUGUGAAACUCCGGGGCUCAACCCCGGACAUGCAGAAGAUACUGGCAGACUGGAGUAUGGUAGAGGCAAGCGGAAUUCCUGGUGUAGCGGUGGAAUGCGUAGAUAUCAGGAAGAACACCUGUGGCGAAGGCGGCUUGCUGGGCCAUUACUGACACUCAUCCGCGAAAGCGUGGGGAGCAAACA
rnacentral:rRNA from 1 species